AGACUGGUUAAUUAUAACAAUGCAUUGUUAAACCUUCAGAAGGAAAGAAUGUUUUGUACCAUUUUGAUUUUUUCUGGUAUGUGGUCAUUUUAAGUAAUUCAUUUUAAAAAUCAGU
rnacentral:miRNA from 1 species